GUGGCUAUGGUGUAAUGGUAGCACUAGAGUUUGUGGAACUCUCAGUGGCAGUUCGAAUCUGCUUAGCCACC
rnacentral:tRNA from 1 species